rnacentral:rRNA from 1 species
UACGUAGGUGGCAAGCGUUGUCCGGAAUUACUGGGCGUAAAGCGUGCGCAGGCGGUUGUGCAAGACAGAUGUGAAAUCCCCGGGCUUAACCUGGGAACUGCAUUUGUGACUGCAUGGCUGGAGUGCGGCAGAGGGGGAUGGAAUUCCGCGUGUAGCAGUGAAAUGCGUAGAUAUGCGGAGGAACACCGAUGGCGAAGGCAAUCCCCUGGGCCUGCACUGACGCUCAUGCACGAAAGCGUGGGGAGCAAACAGG